GGGGGACAACGUUUGGAAACGAACGCUAAUACCGCAUAACAAUGAGAAUCGCAUGAUUCUGAUUUAAAAGAAGCAACUGCUUCACUACUUGAUGAUCCCGCGUUGUAUUAGCUAGUUGGUAGUGUAAAGGACUACCAAGGCGAUGAUACAUAGCCGGCCUGAGAGGGUGAACGGCCACACUGGGACUGAGACACGGCCCAGACUCCUACGGGAGGCAGCAGUAGGGAAUCUUCGGCAAUGGGGGCAACCCUGACCGAGCAACGCCGCGUGAGUGAAGAAGGUUUUCGGAUCGUAAAACUCUGUUGUUAGAGAAGAACGUUAAGUAGAGUGGAAAGUUACUUAAGUGACGGUAUCUAACCAGAAAGGGACGGCUAACUACGUGCCAGCAGCCGCGGUAAUACGUAGGUCCCGAGCGUUGUCCGGAUUUAUUGGGCGUAAAGCGAGCGCAGGUGGUUCCUUAAGUCUGAUGUAAAAGGCAGUGGCUCAACCAUUGUGUGCAUUGGAAACUGGGGAACUUGAGUGCAGGAGAGGGGAGUGGAACUCCAUGUGUAGCGGUGAAAUGCGUAGAUAUAUGGAGGAACACCGGAGGCGAAAGCGGCUCUCUG
rnacentral:rRNA from 1 species